GGCAGUGUAGCUCAGUCGGUAGGGCACUUGCUUGUCAUGUAUGAGGACCUGAGUUUGACCCCCAGCACCG
rnacentral:tRNA from 1 species